AGAGUUUGAUCCUGGCUCAGGAUGGACGCUAGCGGCAGGCUUAACACAUGCAAGUCGAGGGGCAGCGGGGAGGAAGCUUGCUUUCUCCGCCGGCGACCGGCGCACGGGUGAGUAACACGUAUGCAACCUGCCCCUGUCAGGGGGACAACCCGCCGAAAGGCGGGCUAAACCCGCGUACAUGCCACCGGGGCAUCCCGGAGGCAGGAAAGGCUUCGGCCGGACAGGGAUGGGCAUGCGGCGCAUUAGGCAGUAGGCGGGGUAACGGCCCACCUAACCGACGAUGCGUAGGGGUUCUGAGAGGAAGGUCCCCCACACUGGUACUGAGACACGGACCAGACUCCUACGGGAGGCAGCAGUGAGGAAUAUUGGUCAAUGGUCGGGAGACUGAACCAGCCAAGCCGCGUGAGGGAUGAAGGUACAGAGUAUCGUAAACCUCUUUUGUCAGGGAACAAAGGCGGGGACGUGUCCCCGGAUGAGUGUACCUGAAGAAAAAGCAUCGGCUAACUCCGUGCCAGCAGCCGCGGUAAUACGGAGGAUGCGAGCGUUAUCCGGAUUUAUUGGGUUUAAAGGGUGCGCAGGCGGUCUGUUAAGUCAGCGGUCAAAGCCCGGGGCUCAACCCCGGCCCGCCGUUGAAACUGGCAGUCUCGAGUUGGAGAGAAGUAUGCGGAAUGCGCGGUGUAGCGGUGAAAUGCAUAGAUAUCGCGCAGAACUCCGAUUGCGAAGGCAGCAUGCCGGCUCCACACUGACGCUGAGGCACGAAAGCGUGGGUAUCGAACAGGAUUAGAUACCCUGGUAGUCCACGCAGUAAACGAUGAAUGCUGGCUGUCCGGGGGGGAUUGACCCCUGGGUGGCGAAGCGAAAGCGAUAAGCAUUCCACCUGGGGAGUACGCCGGCAACGGUGAAACUCAAAGGAAUUGACGGGGGCCCGCACAAGCGGAGGAACAUGUGGUUUAAUUCGAUGAUACGCGAGGAACCUUACCCGGGCUCAAACGGGGAGUGACUCAGGCAGAGACGCCUGUUUCCCACGGGACACUCCCCGAGGUGCUGCAUGGUUGUCGUCAGCUCGUGCCGUGAGGUGUCGGCUUAAGUGCCAUAACGAGCGCAACCCCCGCGUGCAGUUGCUAACAGAUAACGCUGAGGACUCUGCACGGACUGCCGGCGCAAGCCGCGAGGAAGGCGGGGAUGACGUCAAAUCAGCACGGCCCUUACGCCCGGGGCGACACACGUGUUACAAUGGGUGGUACAGCGGGAAGCCAGGCGGCGACGCCGAGCGGAACCCGAAAUCCACUCUCAGUUCGGAUCGGAGUCUGCAACCCGACUCCGUGAAGCUGGAUUCGCUAGUAAUCGCGCAUCAGCCAUGGCGCGGUGAAUACGUUCCCGGGCCUUGUACACACCGCCCGUCAAGCCAUGGGAGCCGAGGGCGCUUGAAGCGCGUCGCCGCGAGGCGCGCCCUAGAGCGAAAUCGGUGACUGGGGCUAAGUCGUAACAAGGUAACC
rnacentral:rRNA from 1 species